rnacentral:rRNA from 1 species
GAUGAACGCUGGCGGCGUGCCUAAUACAUGCAAGUCGAGCGAACAGAUGAGGAGCUUGCUCCUCUGACGUUAGCGGCGGACGGGUGAGUAACACGUGGAUAACCUACCUAUAAGACUGGGAUAACUUCGGGAAACCGGAGCUAAUACCGGAUAAUAUAUUGAACCGCAUGGUUCAAUAGUGAAAGACGGUUUUGCUGUCACUUAUAGAUGGAUCCGCGCCGCAUUAGCUAGUUGGUAAGGUAACGGCUUACCAAGGCAACGAUGCGUAGCCGACCUGCGAGGGUGAUCGGCCACACUGGAACUGAGACACGGUCCAGACUCCUACGGGAGGCAGCAGUAGGGAAUCUUCCGCAAUGGGCGAAAGCCUGACGGAGCAACGCCGCGUGAGUGAUGAAGGUCUUCGGAUCGUAAAACUCUGUUAUUAGGGAAGAACAAAUGUGUAAGUAACUAUGCACGUCUUGACGGUACCUAAUCAGAAAGCCACGGCUAACUACGU